rnacentral:rRNA from 1 species
UACGUAGGGGGCAAGCGUUAUCCGGAUUUACUGGGUGUAAAGGGAGCGUAGACGGCACAGCAAGUCCGAAGUGAAAACCCAGGGCUCAACCUUGGGAUUGCUUUGGAAACUGUUGAGCUGGAGUACGGGAGGGGCAGGCGGAAUUCCUAGUGUAGCGGUGAAAUGCGUAGAUAUUAGGAGGAACACCGGCGGCGAAGGCGGCCUGCUGGACCGUAACUGACGUUGAGGCUCGAAAGCGUGGGGAGCAAACAGG